rnacentral:rRNA from 1 species
UACGGAGGGUGCAAGCGUUAAUCGGAAUUACUGGGCGUAAAGCGUGCGCAGGCGGUUUGUUAAGUCUGUUGUGAAAUCCCCGAGCUCAACUUGGGAAUUGCAAUGGAUACUGGCAGGCUGGAGUCUGGCAGAGGGGGGUAGAAUUCCACGUGUAGCAGUGAAAUGCGUAGAGAUGUGGAGGAACACCGAUGGCGAAGGCAGCCCCCUGGGUCAAGACUGACGCUCAUGCACGAAAGCGUGGGGAGCAAACAGG